rnacentral:lncRNA from 1 species
GUAGGAUAUUUUAUAAUUUAUUUUUUAAAGUUUAUUAUUAUUAUUAUUAUUGGUUGAUCAUACAUGUUUCUAAUUAAUUGGUUACUUAGUGAAGAUAGCUGUUGCUAUUUUAUUAGCAUUAUUACUCAUCAAUCCUAUUUACUUGUGCACAAUUCGGUUACCGUCUUAAUAAAUAAAAUCAUGAUUUGGCUUGAAGAUUAAUAUAGUGCAACGUUAACAUAUCAUAGGAGGUAUGACCUAUAUAUAAGGGUUCUCUAGAAGCAAAACAAGAUAGAUGAUUAUAAACCACACAAAUAUAAUAUAAUACUUAGUUCCCAUGAGCAUCCAAAAAGUGGUUCUUGAGACCUUGCUAAUUCACGUGCAGUGCUAGCAAGAAGUGACUGUUGUAUCCUGGAGGGUAUUAGCUAUGAGACCAACUGCACCGGGUAAUUUACCUGUGGUGGCGAAAUACUCUUAAGCCCAGUGCAUUGCACGCCUCAGUCAAUAAUGCG